rnacentral:rRNA from 1 species
AUACGUAGGGUGCAAGCGUUAAUCGGAAUUACUGGGCGUAAAGCGUGCGCAGGCGGUUUUGUAAGACAGAGGUGAAAUCCCCGGGCUCAACCUGGGAACUGCCUUUGUGACUGCAAGGCUAGAGUACGGCAGAGGGGGGUGGAAUUCCGCGGGGAGCAGUGAAAUGCGUAGAUAUGCGGAGGAACACCGAUGGCGAAGGCAAUCCCCUGGGCCUGUACUGACGCUCAUGCACGAAAGCGUGGGGAGCAAACAGGACUAGAUACCCUGGUAGUCCACGCCCUAAACGAUGUCAACUGGUUGUUGGGUCUUCAUUGACUCAGUAACGAAGCUAACGCGUGAAGUUGACCGCCUGGGGAGUACGGCCGCAAGGUUGAAACUUAAAGGAAUUGACGGGG